GACGAACGCUGGCGGCGUGCUUAACACAUGCAAGUCGAACGGUAAGGCCCUUCGGGGUACACGAGUGGCGAACGGGUGAGUAACACGUGGGUGAUCUGCCCUGCACUUCGGGAUAAGCCUGGGAAACUGGGUCUAAUACCGGAUAGGACUCCUGCCUGCAUGGGUGGGGGUGGAAAGCUUUUGCGGUGUGGGAUGGGCCCGCGGCCUAUCAGCCUGUUGGUGGGGUGAUGGCCUACCAAGGCGACGACGGGUAGCCGGCCUGAGAGGGUGACCGGCCACACUGGGACUGAGAUACGGCCCAGACUCCUACGGGAGGCAGCAGUGGGGAAUAUUGCACAAUGGGCGCAAGCCUGAUGCAGCGACGCCGCGUGAGGGAUGACGGCCUUCGGGUUGUAAACCUCUUUCAGCACAGACGAAGCGCGAGUGACGGUAUGUGCAGAAGAAGGACCGGCCAACUACGUGCCAGCAGCCGCGGUAA
rnacentral:rRNA from 1 species